CUUUUGGUUCAAUGAAAUGAAGACCAAUGAGAUUGGGUAAGUUUCUUUGUAGUCAUUGUUAAUGCAACUGAUAGUUAGUUGUUAUUGCAACUGAUGCAAUUAUGUAAUUCAAUUCGAAGCCUCAAGAGCUUCAACAUCAAAUGGAAAAGUGCUAUCACAUCGGGUGAGUUUUGGAUAUUGUUAAAUGUUAUAGCAGUUAAAAAUAUUCGUUGACAGUUAUUAAUGUGAAGAUCUUAAACACUUUUAUAAGUGCAAACUAAUGGAGAAAAUGUUAUAUGUUUUAUAGAUGUGUGUGGUUGUAUAGAGAUCAGAUAAUUGCUGUAGUGUUAGCGUGUAUCUUUUAUGAUCAAUCUAUAUAUACUUACCAGGUUUUUCGGCCGUACAAUACAUAAACGUACAAUAACAUUUAAUCACCGUUUAAUCUAUAUAUACUUACUAGGUUUUAUGAGGGCCUAGGGGCCAUUCCAGAAACCCAUAUUACCUUCUAUUAAUACAACUCUCUAAACAUGUGAUCAUUUCAGCUAAUUUCCGUUGUUUACAUCAUUCAUUUUAUAGGUAUUUGAGGAUCCUGAGAUUUCUAAUUUAAAAUUGGGAUGCCUGUCUUGAAACAGCGCUUGGACCAACUUCGUGAUGUUAAUAAUUAGCACUUAGAUUUAUUUAUUAUAUUUCAUGUUACGGCCUAUUCUUAUGAUUUCUUUUGAGCAUAAGAGCAUUUACGUCUUUUAUAUGGACUUUCAUGUUGUGUUUGCCUUUCCAGAUGAUGGAGCUUGGAAGCGAUUCGAUUAACAGUCAGAUUACUUUCACAUAGAACAAAUUGUGUAGACAAACUAGCUAUGGAGGGGGAACAAUUGGGUAGCUGGUCAAAACGGGUCGGUUAACAACACAAUAUUGUUGACAAGAAGAAUUUGCAAGAAAUCAUGCCCCAAAGGGAUAGGUCUUCAGCAAACACAUAACCAAAAGAACUAUCUUUCAAAAGGAGUUCAAGUUCUUUUGACAAGCAAUCAGACAAAAGUUCUGAAAGCAACUUGGCGAGUAGUAGUCAUCAAACUCCUACGAGACAACCCAUAUUCCUUGCCACGGAUGUCAAAAGAAAGCGUUCAGAACCUAGAAUCGAAGAUGUUGCCGGCAGGAAAAUGAGCCAAGGUGCAUUCAAGACGUUCUGGUGAAACUUGCAUCUGAAAGCUACAGCCUACAAAUUUGAGUACCCACUCGGCAAAAUAUGGCACAAAGAAGUUUGUGUUCUUUGCACAGAGGUUUACAUGGUACAUUUUCGUUGUCAAGAUACCAAUUUUUUCAGAGCGUUUAGACAUUUGAGAUUUCUAUAACACUUUUUCAUUCUCAAUUGAAAUUAUGCUAACAUGUAAAAUCUAACUUCUUGGUUCUUUUCAAUGCUAGAAUUAUGGUUGACAUUACCUGACCUUUUUCAAACUACUUAUAAUUAAUUCAUGUAUUCA